GAUGAACGCUAGCGGCAGGCCUAACACAUGCAAGUCGAGGGGGAAGUUACUUUCGGGUGACUGAGACCGGCGUACGGGUGCGUAACGCGUAUACAAUCUGCCUUUCACUGGAGGAUAGCCCGAAGAAAUUUGGAUUAAUACCCCAUAGUAUAUAGGGACGGCAUCGUUUUUAUAUUAAAGCUUAGGUGGUGAAAGAUGAGUAUGCGUUCUAUUAGCUAGUUGGAGAGGUAACGGCUCCCCAAGGCGAUGAUAGAUAGGGGUUCUGAGAGGGAUGUCCCCCACACUGGUACUGAGAUACGGACCAGACUCCUACGGGAGGCAGCAGUGAGGAAUAUUGGACAAUGGUCGGAAGACUGAUCCAGCCAUGCCGCGUGCAGGAUGAAGGUCUUAUGGAUUGUAAACUGCUUUUGUAAGGGAAGAAUAAGGGCUACGCGUAGUUUGAUGACGGUACCUUACGAAUAAGCAUCGGCUAACUCCGUG
rnacentral:rRNA from 1 species